GCUGUGUCCUUUCGAGUUCUACUCUUUCCUAGGUGAAGGGCAAACGGCCUUCCACGUCCUACCUUCAUCGCUGCGAGUCUAGUGAGGUGAACCAUGUACCUGCUCUCACUGUCUGCGAAUGUGCCUCGUUCACCAGGAAACUACUUCUUCCUUGCGUGUCCAUUCUGCCGCACAACAUGAGCUCGACUCCGCUCUACGCCGAGGGGUCGCAGGCUCGUCGCGUGGCACAGAGCAGCGGCAGGCACGCGUUGCCGCAAGGCGCCGACUCAGUCACCCGAGCACGGCCUGUGCCCCAAACUCUUCUCACCAACUCCGCUCCCCCGGAGUGGCGCAGAGGCCCCCCCACCCCUCCCACCACCACCACCACCAGUGGAGACCGAGAGCCGGGUGUGAGGUGCGUUCGAGCUGCACGGACGCUCUGCCGCGUCAUACGGGUGGCACAGGCGUGUCUCCCCGCCGACGCCGGCAGCGGCAAAUCGCUCUGAUGGCCCCCACUCCCACCUGACGCCGUAGGUGCUUGGCGUCCCCACACACACUGUGCGUGGGUGGCUGGGUCCUGGUGCCGCGACGCGGCGUUCACCCGGUUAAUCGAUGUUUUGGUGAACACUCUGGAAACGGAAAAAGCCAAAUCAGCAGCAGAAGCGAAGCGGUGCGUGCCAGCCGCUGUGUUUCCGUCGUCGUGUCUCUUUCUGGCAGCGCGCAGGGGACGCCGAAUGUCAAGAGCUGCCCAACGGCUGGCCUACCCCCACCCCUCCCCUCUCUCCACACGGACGCGGUGCGCUGAAGUGUUGGCGAUGUAGUUCACCUUUUGUCGCCCUCUCAUUCCUCUUUUUCGUCUCCGUACCUGAAGCGCGCAUGCGCAGGUGAGCCUGCCAAGACACGCCGCCGAUGCAUGGCACCGAUGGAAACGCCAGAUGAAGACGGCGAGGCCAUACCCCCUUCCCCACGGCCCGACCCGGGAAGGCCGUCGUUAAAAACGCCCCGGGGAUGCGGGGACUGCGCGGGUGCGCUGCCACGCGCCGCUGGGGCGCGGCGUCCCGGUGGUGGGCAGGGCAAGGGCGGCGUUCGACAGGAAACGGCGCGAAGAGGCGCCGCACGGGACAGCGCCAAAGCGGGCACGCGUGCUUUUUGCGUCGGGGCGAUUGGGGAAAAGUGUCCUUCCGGCCGGAAUCGAACCAGCGACCCUGUGAUACCUGCGAACUCUACAGUCACAUGCUCUACCAAUUGAGCUACAGAAGGUCCACAACAUGGUCGCACUUCGUGGCUACAGCGAAGAACACGCAACACCACCAGCCCAUCUGAGGGAGUGGGAGGGGGAAAAGGCCGCUAGGGGGAUCGAACCCCUGACCUCCGUCUUACUAGGACGGCGCUCUGCCAUUGAGCUAAGCAGCCACCGUUCCCUGGAGGAAAAAGCCGCCUGACACCCAAAGAGCUGCAACCCAGCCGGCUCCAGGUGCGGCUUCCGGUGCCUGAUUGAAGU
rnacentral:tRNA from 1 species